CUAUUACAGGGGAUUGCUCUGCGCUCUAUCUGCAGUCGACGAACAACGAGGACUUGCUCCUCUGCGUUGGGGGGAGGGAGAGUAACACGUGGAUAACUACCUAUAGAUGGGAUACUUCGGGAAACCGGACUAAUACCGGAUAAUAUAUUGAACCGCAUGGUUCAAUAGUGAAAGACGGUUUUGCUGUCACUUAUAGAUGGAUCCGCGCCGCAUUUCUAGUUGGUAGGUACGGCUUACCAAGGCAACGAUGCGUAGCCGACCUGAGAGGGUGAUCGGCCACACUGGAACUGAACACGGUCCAGACUCCUACGGGAGGCAGCAGUAGGGAAUCUUCCGCAAUGGGCGAAAGCCUGACGGAGCAACGCCGCGUGAGUGAUGAAGUCUUCGGAUCGUAAAACUCUGUUAUUAGGGAAUAACAAAUGUGUAAUAACUAUGCCCGUCUUGAAUGUACCUAAUCAGAAAGCCACGGCUAACUACGUGCCAGCAGCCGCGGUAAUACGUAGGUGGCAAGCGUUAUCCGGAAUUAUUGGGCGUAAAGCGCGCGUAGGCGGUUUUUUAAGUCUGAUGUGAAAGCCCACGGCUCAACCGUGGAGGGUCAUUGGAAACUGGAAAACUUGAGUGCAGAAGAGGAAAGUGGAAUUCCAUGUGUAGCGGUGAAAUGCGCAGAGAUAUGGAGGAACACCAG
rnacentral:rRNA from 1 species